rnacentral:rRNA from 1 species
UACGGGGGGAGCAAGCGUUGUUCGGAUUUACUGGGCGUAAAGGGCGCGUAGGCGGUCAGCACAAGUCAGUUGUGAAAUCUCCGGGCUUAACUCGGAACGGCCAAGUGAAACUGUCAAGCUAGAGUGCAGAAGGGGCAAUCGGAAUUCUUGGUGUAGCGGUGAAAUGCGUAGAUAUCAAGAGGAACACCUGAGGUGAAGACGGGUUGCUGGCUGACACUGACGCUGAGGCGCGAAGCCAGGGAGCAAACGGG